rnacentral:rRNA from 1 species
GCUGUGAGGCAUGCUGGAGGUAUCAGAAGUGCGAAUGCUGACAUAAGUAACGAUAAAGCGGGUGAAAAGCCCGCUCGCCGGAAGACCAAGGGUUCCUGUCCAACGUUAAUCGGGGCAGGGUGAGUCGACCCCUAAGGCGAGGCCGAAAGGCGUAGUCGAUGGGAAACAGGUUAAUAUUCCUGUACUUGGUGUUACUGCGAAGGGGGGACGGAGAAGGCUAUGUUGGCCGGGCGACGGUUGUCCCGGUUUAAGCGUGUAGGCUGGUUUUCCAGGCAAAUCCGGAAAAUCAAGGCUGAGGCGUGAUGACGAGGCACUACGGUGCUGAAGCAACAAAUGCCCUGCUUCCAGGAAAAGCCUCUAAGCAUCAGGUAACAUCAAAUCGUACCCCAAACCGACACAGGUGGUCAGGUAGAGAAUACCAAGGCGCUUGAGAGAACUCGGGUGAAGGAACUAGGCAAAAUGGUGCCGUAACUUCGGGAGAAGGCACGCUGAUAUGUAGGUGAAGUCCCUCGCGGAUGGAGCUGAAAUCAGUCGAAGAUACCAGCUGGCUGCAACUGUUUAUUAAAAACACAGCACUGUGCAAACACGAAAGUGGACGUAUACGGUGUGACGCCUGCCCGGUGC